AACGCAUAUUGCGCCCCUUGGUAUUCCGGGGGGCACACCUUUUCGAGCGCCAUUUCGACCCUCAAGCUUAGCUUGGUGUUGGGUGAGGUCCCAAAAAGGACCCUCCCGUAACCCGUAGGCGGUCAUCGUCCGUACUCCUCUAGCGUAGCAGGCUCACGCACUCGCUCGGGGAUGGGGUGAGAUCAUGCCCUUUACAACCCUUUCAAAGGUUUGGCCUCGAAUCAGGUGGGGAUACCCGCUGAACUUAA
rnacentral:misc_RNA from 1 species